rnacentral:lncRNA from 1 species
AGGACGUUAUUUUACAGGUGCUCAUCACCGAUGAUAGACGAUAAAAAGUUGACUGCAACAAUAAUCAUAAUAAUAAAACAAAUUAUAAAGAUUCAUGCAAUUUAUAAGUUCAUGGCUGUGUAUGCAACAGGGUUACAUCAAUGUGUUGUCUCCCUCCUCAUGUGAGUGGUCAGUUUCAGCAGGCAUAAAUCCUAUCAUUAUAGGUUAGA